rnacentral:rRNA from 1 species
GACGAACGCUGGCGGCGUGCUUAACACAUGCAAGUCGAACGGAAAGGCCCUGCUUUUGUGGGGUGCUCGAGUGGCGAACGGGUGAGUAACACGUGAGUAACCUGCCCUUGACUUUGGGAUAACUUCAGGAAACUGGGGCUAAUACCGGAUAGGAGCUCCUGCUGCAUGGUGGGGGUUGGAAAGUUUCGGCGGUUGGGGAUGGACUCGCGGCUUAUCAGCUUGUUGGUGGGGUAGUGGCUUACCAAGGCUUUGACGGGUAGCCGGCCUGAGAGGGUGACCGGCCGCAUUGGGACUGAGAUACGGCCCAGACUCCUACGGGAGGAAGCAGUGGGGAAUAUUGCACAAUGGGCGGAAGCCUGAUGCAGCAACGCCGCGUGCGGGAUGACGGCCUUCGGGUUGUAAACCGCUUUCGCCUGUGACGAAGCGUGAGUGACGGUAAUGGGUAAAGAAGCACCGGCUAACUACGUG